rnacentral:tRNA from 1 species
AGGCCAGUAGCUCUAAUGGUAGAGCGUCGGUCUCCAAAACCGAGUGUUGUGGGUUCGAGUCCUACCUGGCCUG